rnacentral:rRNA from 1 species
AGUGAACGCUGGCGGUAGGCCUAACACAUGCAAGUCGAACGGCAGCACAGUAAGAGCUUGCUCUUACGGGUGGUGAGUGGCGGACGGGUGAGGAAUACAUCGGAAUCUACUUUUUCGUGGGGGAUAACGUAGGGAAACUUACGCUAAUACCGCAUACGACCUACGGGUGAAAGCAGGGGAUCUUCGGACCUUGCGCGAUUGAAUGAGCCGAUGUCGGAUUAGCUAGUUGGCGGGGUAAAGGCCCACCAAGGCGACGAUCCGUAGCUGGUCUGAGAGGAUGAUCAGCCACACUGGAACUGAGACACGGUCCAGACUCCUACGGGAGGCAGCAGUGGGGAAUAUUGGACAAUGGGCGCAAGCCUGAUCCAGCCAUACCGCGUGGGUGAAGAAGGCCUUCGGGUUGUAAAGCCCUUUUGUUGGGAAAGAAAAGCAGCAGGUUAAUACCCCGCUGUUCUGACGGUACCCAAAGAAUAAGCACCGGCUAACUUCGU